UUGAAGAGUUUGAUCAUGGCUCAGAUUGAACGCUGGCGGCAGGCCUAACACAUGCAAGUCGAGCGGUAGCACAGAGAGCUUGCUCUCGGGUGACGAGCGGCGGACGGGUGAGUAAUGUCUGGGAAACUGCCUGAUGGAGGGGGAUAACUACUGGAAACGGUAGCUAAUACCGCAUAAUGUCGCAAGACCAAAGUGGGGGACCUUCGGGCCUCAUGCCAUCAGAUGUGCCCAGAUGGGAUUAGCUAGUAGGUGGGGUAACGGCUCACCUAGGCGACGAUCCCUAGCUGGUCUGAGAGGAUGACCAGCCACACUGGAACUGAGACACGGUCCAGACUCCUACGGGAGGCAGCAGUGGGGAAUAUUGCACAAUGGGCGCAAGCCUGAUGCAGCCAUGCCGCGUGUGUGAAGAAGGCCUUCGGGUUGUAAAGCACUUUCAGCGGGGAGGAAGGCGAUAAGGUUAAUAACCUUGUCGAUUGACGUUACCCGCAGAAGAAGCACCGGCUAACUCCGUGCCAGCAGCCGCGGUAAUACGGAGGGUGCAAGCGUUAAUCGGAAUUACUGGGCGUAAAGCGCACGCAGGCGGUCUGUCAAGUCGGAUGUGAAAUCCCCGGGCUCAACCUGGGAACUGCAUUCGAAACUGGCAGGCUAGAGUCUUGUAGAGGGGGGUAGAAUUCCAGGUGUAGCGGUGAAAUGCGUAGAGAUCUGGAGGAAUACCGGUGGCGAAGGCGGCCCCCUGGACAAAGACUGACGCUCAGGUGCGAAAGCGUGGGGAGCAAACAGGAUUAGAUACCCUGGUAGUCCACGCCGUAAACGAUGUCGAUUUGGAGGUUGUGCCCUUGAGGCGUGGCUUCCGGAGCUAACGCGUUAAAUCGACCGCCUGGGGAGUACGGCCGCAAGGUUAAAACUCAAAUGAAUUGACGGGGGCCCGCACAAGCGGUGGAGCAUGUGGUUUAAUUCGAUGCAACGCGAAGAACCUUACCUGGUCUUGACAUCCACAGAACUUAGCAGAGAUGCUUUGGUGCCUUCGGGAACUGUGAGACAGGUGCUGCAUGGCUGUCGUCAGCUCGUGUUGUGAAAUGUUGGGUUAAGUCCCGCAACGAGCGCAACCCUUAUCCUUUGUUGCCAGCGGUUAGGCCGGGAACUCAAAGGAGACUGCCAGUGAUAAACUGGAGGAAGGUGGGGAUGACGUCAAGUCAUCAUGGCCCUUACGACCAGGGCUACACACGUGCUACAAUGGCGCAUACAAAGAGAAGCGACCUCGCGAGAGCAAGCGGACCUCAUAAAGUGCGUCGUAGUCCGGAUUGGAGUCUGCAACUCGACUCCAUGAAGUCGGAAUCGCUAGUAAUCGUAGAUCAGAAUGCUACGGUGAAUACGUUCCCGGGCCUUGUACACACCGCCCGUCACACCAUGGGAGUGGGUUGCAAAAGAAGUAGGUAGCUUAACCUUCGGGAGGGCGCUUACCACUUUGUGAUUCAUGACUGGGGUGAAGUCGUAACAAGGUAACCGUAGGGGAACCUGCGGUUGGAUCACCUCCUU
rnacentral:rRNA from 1 species